rnacentral:rRNA from 1 species
UACGGAGGGGACUAGCGUUGUUCGGAAUUACUGGGCGUAAAGCGCACGUAGGCGGAUUUGUUAGUCAGGGGUGAAAUCCCGAGGCUCAACCUCGGAACUGCCUUUGAUACUGCAAAUCUCGAGUCCGGAAGAGGUGAGUGGAACUCCUAGUGUAGAGGUGGAAUUCGUAGAUAUUAGGAAGAACACCAGUGGCGAAGGCGGCUCCCUGGUCCGGUACUGACGCUGAGGUGCGAAAGCGUGGGGAGCAAACAGG